CCUACGGGGGGGCUGCAGUGGGGAAUAUUGGACAAUGGGCGAAAGCCUGAUCCAGCCAUGCCGCGUGUGUGAAGAAGGCCUUCGGGUUGUAAAGCACUUUCAGUGGGGAAGAAAGCCUUGGGGCUAAUACCCUCGAGGAAGGACAUCACCCACAGAAGAAGCACCGGCUAACUCCGUGCCAGCAGCCGCGGUAAUACGGAGGGUGCGAGCGUUAAUCGGAAUUACUGGGCGUAAAGCGCGCGUAGGCGGUCUGAUAAGCCGGUUGUGAAAGCCCCGGGCUCAACCUGGGAACGGCAUCCGGAACUGUCAGGCUAGAGUGCAGGAGAGGAAGGUAGAAUUCCCGGUGUAGCGGUGAAAUGCGUAGAGAUCGGGAGGAAUACCAGUGGCGAAGGCGGCCUUCUGGACUGACACUGACGCUGAGGUGCGAAAGCGUGGGUAGCAAACAGGAUUAGAUACCCGGGUAGUC
rnacentral:rRNA from 1 species